UGGGGAAUAUUGCACAAUGGGCGCAAGCCUGAUGCAGCCAUGCCGCGUGUAUGAAGAAGGCCUUCGGGUUGUAAAGUACUUUCAGUCGGGAGGAAGGUGGUAAGGUUAAUAACCUUAUCAAUUGACGUUACCGACAGAAGAAGCACCGGCUAACUCCGUGCCAGCAGCCGCGGUAAUACGGAGGGUGCAAGCGUUAAUCGGAAUUACUGGGCGUAAAGCGCACGCAGGCGGUUUGUUAAGUCAGAUGUGAAAUCCCCGGGCUCAACCUGGGAACUGCAUCUGAUACUGGCAAGCUUGAGUCUCGUAGAGGGGGGUAAAAUUCCAGGUGUAGCGGUGAAAUGCGUAGAGAUCUGGAGGAAUACCGGUGGCGAAGGCGGCCCCCUGGACGAAGACUGAAGCUCAGGUGCGAAAGCGUGGGGAGCAAACAGG
rnacentral:rRNA from 1 species